GGUUAAGCGACUAAGCGUACACGGUGGAUGCCCUGGCAGUCAGAGGCGAUGAAGGGCGUGCUAAUCUGCGAUAAGCGCCGGUAAGGUGAUAUGAACCGUUAUAACCGGCGAUACCCGAAUGGGGAAACCCAGUGUGAUUCGUCACACUAUCAUUACGUGAAUACAUAGCGUAAUGAAGCGAACCGGGGGAACUGAAACAUCUAAGUACCCCGAGGAAAAGAAAUCAACCGAGAUUCCCCCAGUAGCGGCGAGCGAACGGGGAGGAGCCCAGAGCCUGAAUCAGCAUGUGUGUUAGUGGAAGCGUCUGGAAAGGCGCGCGAUACAGGGUGACAGCCCCGUACACAAAAGCGCAUGUGCUGUGAGCUCGAUGAGUAGGGCGGGACACGUGGUAUCCUGUCUGAAUAUGGGGGGACCAUCCUCCAAGGCUAAAUACUCCUGACUGACCGAUAGUGAACCAGUACCGUGAGGGAAAGGCGAAAAGAACCCCGGCGAGGGGAGUGAAAAAGAACCUGAAACCGUGUACGUACAAGCAGUGGGAGCACAGGUUUACCUGUGUGACUGCGUACCUUUUGUAUAAUGGGUCAGCGACUUAUAUUCUGUAGCAAGGUUAACCGUAUAGGGGAGCCGGAGGGAAACCGAGUCUUAAUUGGGCGUUAAGUUGCAGGGUAUAGACCCGAAACCCGGUGAUCUAGCCAUGGGCAGGUUGAAGGUUGGGUAACACUAACUGGAGGACCGAACCGACUAAUGUUGAAAAAUUAGCGGAUGACCUGUGGCUGGGGGUGAAAGGCCAAUCAAACCGGGAGAUAGCUGGUUCUCCCCGAAAGCUAUUUAGGUAGCGCCUCGUGAAUUCAUCUCCGGGGGUAGAGCACUGUUUCGGCUAGGGGGCCAUCCCGGCUUACCAACCCGAUGCAAACUGCGAAUACCGGAGAAUGUUAUCACGGGAGACACACGGCGGGUGCUAACGUCCGUCGUGAAGAGGGAAACAACCCAGACCGCCAGCUAAGGUCCCAAAGUCAUGGUUAAGUGGGAAACGAUGUGGGAAGGCCCAGACAGCCAGGAUGUUGGCUUAGAAGCAGCCAUCAUUUAAAGAAAGCGUAAUAGCUCACUGGUCGAGUCGGCCUGCGCGGAAGAUGUAACGGGGCUAAACCAUGCACCGAAGCUGCGGCAGCGAACGUAUCACUUAAAGCGAUUCAGCGGGUUACGAUUGACGGAGCGAAGCGACGUCAAAGCGUAUACAAAGUCGAGUCGGUUUAAGGAUACGUUCGUUGGGUAGGGGAGCGUUCUGUAAGCCUGUGAAGGUGGCCUGUGAGGGUUGCUGGAGGUAUCAGAAGUGCGAAUGCUGACAUAAGUAACGAUAAAGCGGGUGAAAAGCCCGCUCGCCGGAAGACCAAGGGUUCCUGUCCAACGUUAAUCGGGGCAGGGUGAGUCGACCCCUAAGGCGAGGCCGAAAGGCGUAGUCGAUGGGAAACGGGUUAAUAUUCCCGUACUUGGUGUUACUGCGAAGGGGGGACGGAGAAGGCUAUGUUGGCCGGGCGACGGUUGUCCCGGUUUAAGCGUGUAGGUGUGUGUUCCAGGUAAAUCCGGUUCACUUUAACACUGAGGCGUGAUGACGAGGCACUACGGUGCUGAAGCAACAAAUGCCCUGCUUCCAGGAAAAGCCUCUAAGCAUCAGGUAACAUCAAAUCGUACCCCAAACCGACACAGGUGGUCAGGUAGAGAAUACCAAGGCGCUUGAGAGAACUCGGGUGAAGGAACUAGGCAAAAUGGUGCCGUAACUUCGGGAGAAGGCACGCUGACACGUAGGUGAAGUGAUUUACUCAUGGAGCUGAAGUCAGUCGAAGAUACCAGCUGGCUGCAACUGUUUAUUAAAAACACAGCACUGUGCAAACACGAAAGUGGACGUAUACGGUGUGACGCCUGCCCGGUGCCGGAAGGUUAAUUGAUGGGGUCAGCGCAAGCGAAGCUCCUGAUCGAAGCCCCGGUAAACGGCGGCCGUAACUAUAACGGUCCUAAGGUAGCGAAAUUCCUUGUCGGGUAAGUUCCGACCUGCACGAAUGGCGUAAUGAUGGCCAGGCUGUCUCCACCCGAGACUCAGUGAAAUUGAACUCGCUGUGAAGAUGCAGUGUACCCGCGGCAAGACGGAAAGACCCCGUGAACCUUUACUAUAGCUUGACACUGAACAUUGAGCCUUGAUGUGUAGGAUAGGUGGGAGGCUUUGAAGUGUGGACGCCAGUCUGCAUGGAGCCGACCUUGAAAUACCACCCUUUAAUGUUUGAUGUUCUAACGUGGACCCGUAAUCCGGGUUGCGGACAGUGUCUGGUGGGUAGUUUGACUGGGGCGGUCUCCUCCUAAAGAGUAACGGAGGAGCACGAAGGUUGGCUAAUCCUGGUCGGACAUCAGGAGGUUAGUGCAAUGGCAUAAGCCAGCUUGACUGCGAGCGUGACGGCGCGAGCAGGUGCGAAAGCAGGUCAUAGUGAUCCGGUGGUUCUGAAUGGAAGGGCCAUCGCUCAACGGAUAAAAGGUACUCCGGGGAUAACAGGCUGAUACCGCCCAAGAGUUCAUAUCGACGGCGGUGUUUGGCACCUCGAUGUCGGCUCAUCACAUCCUGGGGCUGAAGUAGGUCCCAAGGGUAUGGCUGUUCGCCAUUUAAAGUGGUACGCGAGCUGGGUUUAGAACGUCGUGAGACAGUUCGGUCCCUAUCUGCCGUGGGCGCUGGAGAACUGAGGGGGGCUGCUCCUAGUACGAGAGGACCGGAGUGGACGCAUCACUGGUGUUCGGGUUGUCAUGCCAAUGGCACUGCCCGGUAGCUAAAUGCGGAAGAGAUAAGUGCUGAAAGCAUCUAAGCACGAAACUUGCCCCGAGAUGAGUUCUCCCUGAGACUUAGAGUCUCCUGAAGGAACGUUGAAGACGACGACGUUGAUAGGCCGGGUGUGUAAGCGCAGCGAUGCGUUGAGCUAACCGGUACUAAUGAACCGUGAGGCUUAACCUU
rnacentral:rRNA from 1 species